UUGUGAUUUCCUGGUAGACCAGAACGCCUCUAUUGCAAAAGGAUCUGUUUUUUCCCCAGUUCUUUCAAUUGUUUUCUGGGAUUCAAGCUGGAAGAAGGCAGGUCAUGUUUAUCCGUGGCCUCUCCAGGACUUUAGAAACAGAAGUAUAUCAGAGAUAAGCCAAUGCCAGAAAGAUGAUUCAUCAAACACUGAGCCUGGAAAUGUGCAAAAGUGCAAAAACUCUGGGAAAUUCUACAGCCAGACAGUGACUGGAUUGUUGGAAGAAGCUGACUCGUCUCCCCUGCCUCUAGAGACAGGUCCCCGGGGGAAUCCCUUCUGAAGAGGUCUCCAUCCCUUCUCACAGACGUCUCUGCAUAUUCCCUUUUCUUGUGCAGUUGUCUGUAUCACAUGGCACUGGGAAUCUGCAAAGGUCCUGUUGGCAGACGAAUGCAUCUAUAGAAGUCACAUGGUCAGCCAACAAUGAAGAGCUGGGUUAUGGUCUAUGAGAAACAACGACAACAAAUAUGAAAUCCUUGCCUAGCUACGAUGUCCCCUGUUGUCUAAGGAAAGUCUGGCGUAGGUGGCCAAGACUGCAUAUUCUGCCACACUGAUGCAAGCCUGUGACCAGAGAGGUAGUGAAAAGCAAGGCCCUGAACAGCCUGAUGCUGGUACGUUUGCCAGGCCUCAGAGCGGCUGAUCAGACUGUGGGCUGGGCCUCUGUUUCUCCAGCAGUGAGAUUGCAAAUGAGAGUCAACACCAGAGACAGAUGAUGCAUUUUCUAUCAUUGAUGUUCUUUUCUAUCCCCAUUUUCAUCGUGUUUUAUCUUAAAGGCAGCAGGAUCGGAUUUUAACAACAGCUCCAGCCCAUUUCAACUAGCUUCUUUUUUGCCCAAGUGCACAGUUAUUACCAUCUUUGAUACGUAGCUAAGAGAUUGUCAUCAGAAUGGCCAUGCUGGGUCAGACCAAAGAUCCAUGUAGCCCAGUAUCCUGCCUUCCAACAGUGGCCGGUGCCAGGUGCUUCAGAGGGAAUGAACAGAACAGGUG